GGCCACAGAGAAGGGGUCAUGAGAUUGGAGCUGUUGGCCUCAAAGGUUGAGAACAGCUGAGGGGCAGGUAUGAACUAUGACUAUCUCAAUUUUAUUCAUGAUGCAACUAAAGCUUAGAGAGUUAGUUAAAUGAUAAGACAAUGGUAGAGCUGAAACCCAGGGAGUCUGAUUUUAAAGCUCAUUUUCUUAACCUCUAGGUUAUCAUGCUGCAGAGCUAGAAAUUUCCAGCACGCUUUUUUUAACAGACACUUACAAGGCACCAUGGUAGGUGCUGAAAUGAACAAAGACAAGAUUCUCUGUCCUGAAAACCAGUCCAGUAAGGAUACAAACAAGCACGUAGUCAUUACACACAGAGGAAUUUUGUACAUACAAUGAAAGCCUUUCCUUAGUGGUCUGAUCUGCAAGAGAGCAGAAAGCACCUGAUGAGGACGCCUCCAGACCUAGCUUGCUCAGCUCGGCGUUGUGGAUUGUCCCAGCAGUUGGGAGAUUCAAGGAGUGGGGAGCUUCCACCUAAAACAGACAGGCACAAAAGCCCAGGGAUCCAGCAGAGCCUCAGAGCCACAGAGAAGCCAGCAUGUAACCAGACGCCCGGCCAGCAGAGCCCAAAGAGGAGCAAGUUAAAAGGACUGAAAGAAGACGUCAAGGCCAAAGAAAACAAUCAGGGUGGCAAGGGCACUGCUGGCAAGAUGUGGAGGGGAUUUGGUUGAAAGGAAGUGGACGUCAGACUAUUUUAAAUGGAAUAUUCAUAGAUUUCACUGUGAAGGAAAAGUUUUAAAUAUCCCUUCGUAUAAUACAGAAAAAAAUGGUUUUGUUCCGAGCAGUCAAUAAAAGUAGGCAUGCAGUAGACAUGGUUAUACUUAAGCCUUAAAGGAGGUACGCAGCGCAAUGCCAGUGGAAGUGAGACCUAAAGGCACUUGGAAGUUUCUCUCCCUGGAAGGAAGGAGCUGAUGAAAGUUUGACUAACAGGGGGAGAGAGCAGGGCAGUGAGGAGGACAGAUAGUUAAGCUGAGAGGCUCCUCUUACAUUCACGGCUGGAGAAAGAGAGACCCUUGACUUUAUAGUUAGACCAAUUUAGGUUGGAGUCUGAGCUCUAUAAUUUCGUAUUAGGUCACCUUAAAUAAGCAUGCCACCUCUUUGAGCCUCAC
rnacentral:lncRNA from 1 species